rnacentral:rRNA from 1 species
GUGCCAGCCGCCGCGGUAAUACCGGCAGCCCAAGUGAUGGCCGCUGUUAUUGGGCCUAAAGCGUCCGUAGCUGGCCGCACGAGUCCGUCGGGAAAUCCGCCCGCUCAACGGGCGGCCGUCCGGCGGAACCUGUGUGGCUUGGGGCCGGAGGACCCGAGGGGUACGUCCGGGGUAGGAGUGAAAUCCUGUAAUCCUGGACGGACCGCCGGUGGCGAAAGCGCCUCGAGAAAACGGAUCCGACAGUGAGGGACGAAAGCCAGGGUCUCCAACCGGAUUAGAUACCCCAGUAGUCC